CAUGAGUAGUUGAAGACUCUUUUCUCCUUUCAGAGUGAGUUUAAAAUGCUCAAAACAAAGUACUUCAAAGAAGAAAAGACUUGAAGAGCAGCUUUCCAUGAAAUGUGACUGUGGAGAGUCGAUCUGGGCUGGACGCCAGGUGCCCACCAAACUGCCCCAGCACUGCCUUUGUCAGCUGGGCACCGAAGAGGGACAAAAUAAAAUGGAAAAUGAUUCAUGGGUCAAGUGAACAGAAAAAUGUUUCCAGACAUCCCUGCUUGUUUAAUCCUUCAUAAAAAGCCAAAGGCUGAUUUCUCCUGACCAACUUGCCUGCAAAGUUCUGAAGAAGUUCUUUGAAGCACAACAAUAAGUCAUCUUUGGGGUCUUGGGUUUGUUUGUUUUUGUUGUUGUUGUUUUUAUUUUUGGUGAGCAAACAAAUUAUGUUCUAGAAAACACAUAAAAAAAGAACUGGAAUAAAUUGCCAGGCUCCCUGGCAUUGCUUCUUCA